rnacentral:rRNA from 1 species
UGGGGAAUCUUGGACAAUGGGCGAAAGCCUGAUCCAGCCAUGCCGCGUGAGUGAAGAAGGCCUUCGGGUUGUAAAGCUCUUUUAGUCGGAAAGAAAGAGUUGCAAUGAAUAAUUGUGAUUUAUGACGGUACCGACAGAAAAAGCACCGGCUAACUACGUGCCAGCAGCCGCGGUAAUACGUAGGGUGCGAGCGUUAAUCGGAAUUACUGGGCGUAAAGGGUGCGCAGGCGGUCUUGCAAGUCAGAUGUGAAAGCCCCGGGCUUAACCUGGGAAUUGCGUUUGAAACUACAAGACUAGAGUGCAGCAGAGGGGAGUGGAAUUCCAUGUGUAGCAGUGAAAUGCGUAGAGAUGUGGAAGAACACCUAUGGCGAAGGCAGCUCCCUGGGUUGACACUGACGCUCAUGCACGAAAGCGUGGGGAGCAAACA